rnacentral:rRNA from 1 species
CCCUUAGAUGUUCUGGGCCGCACGCGCGCUACACUGACGAAUGCAACGAGCUUAUAACCUUGGCCGAAAGGUCUGGGUAAUCUCCAAAUUUCGUCGUGAUGGGGAUAGAUUAUUGCAAUUAUUAAUCUUCAACGAGGAAUGCCUAGUAAGCGCAAGUCAUAAGCUUGCGCUGACUACGUCCCUGCCCUUUGUACACACCGCCCGUCGCUACUACCGAUUGAAUGAUUUAGUGGGGACUUCGGACUGGGACCGAUGCGGCUUUCGGGCUGCGUCGGUAUUCUGGAAAGAUGUCCAAACUGUAUCAUUUAGAAAUUGCAAAAGUCGUAACA